UGGACUGGAAAGGCUCCGUACUGAUGAUUACUCUUUCCUCACCACAUCAUUCUGGAAGUGCCUCACCUCCCUCCGAUGCCUAGAGUUACGCCAUCCUAUGGGGGAAGUGACGGGACUAACGGAGGAGCAAGAGAGAGCGCUUCAGCACCUCACGUCCCUGCAGGAGCUACGAUUUGAGAAUUGCUCCAACCUCGCAGGUCUUCCUGUGGGUCUGCACAGGCUUUCCUCCCUCAAGAGGUUGGAGAUCAUUGAUUGCCCGUUUCUCUCAAGGCUGCCAGAAAAGGGGCUCCCACCUUCGCUUGAAGAAAUUGAGAUCAGCUCUGGUUGCAGCAAGGAGCUAACUGAUGAAUGCAGAAUGCUAGCAACAACAAGAAGCAAGCCAAAGGUCAAAUUGGUGGGGAAUAUGUUAACUGAUUACUGGGUGGUUGUUAAGCAGACUUGUCUACCAGCAAAGCGGGUUUCACUCUGUUGCCUUCUGAGGUAUAUGCCUCUACCGUCAAUCAUGUUAUUAUCAGAUGUUACAUCCCUCGGUGUCAUGUGAAAAUAAGCUGUCCCAUUGCUGCUUUGCAGGCAUUCAAGCUGCUGUACGUUCCAGUGUUCCACUACUAAAUCUCAUAAACUACGUGCUGUUCAACAAAGCAUCCACACAUCCCUGUUUCUUGCAGAUCACCCAUUGCAGGGCUCAUGUUUGCCAGACGGGAGGCCCAACGCCCAAGGUGUGCUUCUUUUUACUCAUAACCAUCAAAAAUAGAAUUGUUUCGCUUCUCGAACCUCGUCGUCACUGGCCAUAAGCUGCCGAAUGUUAAUAGUUUUGCUGUCAUGUGAACUGAAAACAGUCUGUUUUGUACUUCUAUUCUAUGCUAUUCAUCUCAUCUUGCAAUCUGAAAGCCUUUGUUGCAAACUAAUUUAUCAGCAAUUUCAACAGUGCGUCAGAAAUUUCAAGCGAGCCAUUGGUAAGAUCAUCAUGGGACUUUCCAUUCCGCCUCUGAUUGUCGUUGCCAGCCUUGGAGGUUUUUCUUCUGCUGCCCCGAAGUAGCAGUUGCUUCAGACAGUGGAUCUGUCAAUGUACGUAUGUAGUACUGCAUGGAUUACUAUCUUGGUUUAGAGCACUAGUUUCCAGUGCUGGGUGUCAAUUCCGUGUAUUUCAAUCACGAGACCAGUGUUGUCAGUUGGGGCUCUCCAUGUGAGGGUGUCCCUCGGCAUUGCAACAUAAGCUCCUAUUAAUUAGAAGCACUACUAGUUGAAUGAAAUCCUCAGUCUAGCAGUGCUUCCUAUAUUUUCAGCCUGUUUAUCCACUUGGCCAAAUUGAAUGAAUUCCUAUGGAUCCCGGAUUAACAUUAUUAGUGUUAAUUCAGGAAGGCCACUCAACAUGAGCAGCAGAAUUGCACACAAGAUUACAAUACUGGAUAGUGCAGUCAUGGAGAGGCCAUAUUUUCAUGGUCAAUAUGCUUGGAAAUACAAUGAAGUGCCACAAAAACUGCUCACUGGAUGGACAGGUUAGAUAUACAGAAAGUCUACAUUAUUUGGAAAGAUGACAGGCAUGUUGCCUUCUCAGGUUGAUAUAAUGUAAUGUUUCCUUUUUCUCAAAGAAAAAAAAGUCAAAUUCUACUUGGACAUGCUGUAAACAUCAAUUAAGUAGUAACAACCAUAGGCACGAUAUCUGCAUUAGUAUACUUACACGUGAGAUCAAUUGUCCCCCAGUCAAAGGCCUGCAUGCUGUCUCCUCUACCUUCAGCGCCGUCCAUUGAGGAUUCAAUCCAAAAUCACAUUGAGAAGCCGCUGCAGAUAGUUGUACCUGAGAUUCAGAUGUCAAGGAAGGAGUUGCUGGGAUCAGGACACACUGGAAUCAACACAUCGUCAUUGUUUCUUUCACGAAGACGACGACUCACCCGUGGCCUGUGGAGGUCGCCUGGGCAAGGAGCCACCAGUAGUUACCACCAGAAUGGAAUCCUUAGAAGGUGGAGGUGUGAUUGAUUUGAUUAUGUACGUAGUUUAUGUAGGGAAUUUCAUGGACUUUUAGCUAGGGUUUUGAAUUUAGGGGGAAAAUAAAUAGGAGGAUUCAAGGUCGCCGGUGGAAAACAUCACAAAAUGCAAGCAACACUAACGAAUGAGCUGGAUGAGAAUGAAACUAAGACAAGAGAGGAGCACAGGGAGGAGCGUACCUUGCUGGGAGCUGAGCAGAGCAAGAUGACGAUGAGUUCGACCUAUGCGAGACCUUGCACCGCCGCCACCCUGGUCUUCGCGCUUCCCCACGGCCACUCCUCAUCUAUGCCGCCACCGCCUCCUGCUCAGCCACAGCCGCCGCCGCCGCCCCGGAUGAGAGAGGCGCGGGCUGGCUGCAAGCCGUAAGAACGCGACGGAGGUGCGAGGCUGCGGCGGGUGGCGUGGAUGAGGCACCCCAAAACCUAAUCGCCCGACGGCGAGGAGAAUCGGAGAGGGAGAGGAGGGAGAGGAUGUUGCGGCGGCGGCGUGGCAUCGGGAGUGAGCGGAGGGUGGAAGGAGAGGAGAAGAGAGGAGAGGAAGGGGAACGCGGCGGCGGCGACGAGCGGCGUGGGCGCGGCGGGCGUCGGGAGGAUGAGAGAGCGAGGGAGAGGAAGUUAGUUGGCCAUUUGGCCCGUGGCCCGUGGGCCGGCCCACGGCACGGCAUUUUGGCCCGAUCCAAGCCCGGCCUACACCAUGGGCCGGACCUGGGCUGCUGCCUCAGCUCGUAUGCUGGCCCGGCACGGUCUGGCCCAUUUGGCCCGUGAACCAGUAACGGGCUAGCACGGCCUGUUUAGGCCUGGUAGGUCUAUUUCGGCCCAGCUAAGAGGCAGCAAUAAAACCUACGGCUUCCCCCGCUUCCUCCGCUCCCCAGGCUCCCAACUGCCUCCCUAAGCUCCCUCCUCGACUCCUCCACUUCCCAGCCGCCUCCGGCCUCCCCAGCUCCCCCACUUCCUUCCCCUCCACUCCCCAGCCACUCCGGCCUCCGCCUCCUCCCGCGCGAUCGCGCCCCUCCACCGCCGGUCCCGACCGCUUCCCCUGCGCCCCUCCGCCGCCUCCUCCUGUGGCCUCCUCGGCCGCCUCCCCGGCCGCCUUCCCGCGCCCCUGUGCCGCCUCCUCUCGUGGCCCUCCGUCGUCGUCGGGAAUGGUGCCCCUCAACCGCCUCCUCCUGUGGCCUUCCGCCACCGCCCCCCGACCGCUGGGAACCGCACCCCUCCACCGCCUCCUCGUGUGGGCCUCCGCCGCCGCCUCCCUGUCCGCCGGGAACGGCGCCCCUCCGCCGCCUCCUCCCGUGGUCUUCCGCCGCCGCACCCCGGCCGCUGGGAACCGCACCCCCUCUACCACCUCCUCGCGUGGCCCUCCGUCGCCGCCUCCCCGGCCGUCAGGAAUCGGGCCCCUCCGCCUCCUCCUCUCGUGGCCUUCCGCCGCCGCCCCCCAGCCGCUGGGAACUGCACCCCUCCACCGCCUCCUCGCGUGGCCCUCCGCCGCCGCCUCCCUGGCCGUCAGGAAUCGCGCCCCUCCGCCUCCUCCUCUCGUGGCCUUCCCCCGCCGCCCCCCAGCCGCUGGGAACCGCACCCCUCCACCGCCUCCUCGCGUGGGCCUCCACCGCCGCCUCCUCGUCCGCCGGGAACGGCGCCCCUCCGCCGCCUCCUCGCGUGGCCCUCCGCCGCCGCCUCCCCGGCCGUCAGGAAUCGCGCCCCUCCGCCUCCUCCUCUCGUGGCCUUCAGCCGCCGCCUCCCCAGCCGCCGGGAACCACGCCCCUCCGCCGCCUCCUCGCGUGGCCCUCCGCCGCCGCCUCCCCGGCCGUCAGGAAUCGCGCCCCUCCGCCUCCUCCUCUCGUGGCCUUCAGCCGCCGCCUCCCCAGCCGCCGGGAACCACGCCCCUCUGGUGGUGGCCUCACCGAUUUGGGGUUUGGUGGUGAUUUUGGUGGCGAUUUUGGCAUGAUUUGGUGGUGGAUUUGGGGGAAAUUUGAGGGAAAUGCAGGCUGCGGUAGUGCGGUGGGGAUUGAGGAAAAGGAGGACCCGGAGCCGUGUCGUGGGCCGGCACGAGAAUGGCCAAGCUGCUAUGGCCUGCCGGGCCAGCGGGCCGACACGGCCUGCCUAAGAAGGCAGCAGGUCGGGCCUGGGCCGCUCCUUCAGCAUGUGGGCCGGCCUGGUCUAGCACGGCCGGUCCUAAUCGGGCUCGUGCCAGGCCAGGCUGGGCCGCCCGUUUGGCCAUCUCCCUGAACCCGAAACGGAUUACAGAAAACUCAAAGGGUUUUUUGCAAAAUGUCACGCGCCCGUGGACCCCCGGAAUAAGGGGUCUUCAUUGUUACUGCUCCGCCUCGGCCUAUCCUCCCUACUUCAUUGCUAUUGCUUCCUGCAUUGACUACAACUCAAGCACACUGCCUCUGCCGGAUCUGAAUCUGAUGGAGGCCGUAGAGGACGCGUUUCUGGAGGGCGCGAGCCUCUGGCUGGCGCAAACCAUCCUGCAGAGCCUCUUCACCGGUAAGCUCGAUGAAUGGAUUCGUCAAGUUGGGCUCGCCGACGACGCCGAGAAGCUCAAGUCCGAGGUCGAGCGGGCCGAGGCGGUGGCUGCUGCUGUGAAGGGGAGAACGAUCGGGAACAGGGCGCUGGCCCGAUCGCUCGCUCGUCUCAGGGAGGUGCUCUACGACGCCGACGACGUGGUCGACGAGCUUGACUACUACAGGCUCCAGCACCAGGUCGAAGGAGGUGCGUACAAAUCGAUCCCUGUGAUAAUAGCUAAUAAACACGCCUUGCACACCAUGGUAUGAACUUCCCUUUUUCUUGGUCAGUUACGCUUCAUAGCGCUAUUGAGCAGGAAGGCAUGGGUGGAGAUGGAGAACAGCAGGUUGAUGCAGCGAGGGACAGCGUUGCUAUGCUGCCAAGUAGCAGCGAUCGGAAGAAACGGUCCAAGGCAUGGGAAGAGUUUCGCGUUAAAGAAUCAGCUGACGGGAAGCCUGUGAAAGCAGAGUGUAUUCACUGUGGCACACUGGUUAGAUGCGAGACUACCAAAGGGACAUCGGUCUUGCACAAUCAUCUCAAGAGUGAGAGUUGCAAGAGAAAACGCGCAGCAAUUGAACAAACGCCAGACCCUCCAAGGUACGUACUAUUUAGCUUGAGGAUCCAUGCAGAAUAAUAUUGGCGUACUUUUGUCAGUAACAAAUUAUUAUUAUUAUUUGUGGACAAAAUUUGCAGUGUUUUAUUCUGAAAACCAGCACCGAAAACAGGCCCUUUUAGGAUAUGCAUAGAAAUGUAUUUAAAGUAAUAAAAUGAAAUUCGCAUUAUAUAUCUCUAACGACCAGCUUAUGAUUCUUUUUCCUCCUAUAGUGCCGGCGAUGGUGCACAAAACGGUGCCACCGUUUCAACUCAUAAUUCAGAUAUCAGAAAAAGAAUGAGAAUUGUUGAGGUGUCAGCACACAACACGGCAGCUAAGACACACGCCUGGACCAAGGCCGAAUUCUGCAAUAAAAUCCAACAAACGACUUAUCAGUUACGGAAAGCUACCAAUGAGAUUCAGAUGCUAUCUGUAUCGGGCUCUGUUGCAUAUUCGAAUCUCUGUGGGAAUACAACUGCAGAUCCAUGCCGAAGAACGUCAAGUGUUGUUCAGUGCAAAAUGUACGGGAGAGUUGAUGAGAAGAAUUCCAUCAUAAAGUCUAUGACAGAAGUCAAGUUUGACGAUGUAAUUAUUAUUCCAAUUGUAGGCAUGGGCGGAAUUGGGAAGACGGCUCUUUCUCAACUCGUAUACAAUGAUCCAAUUGUGAAAAGCCAAUUUGAUCACAGAAUGUGGAUUUGGGUGUCUAGCAAGUUUGACGAAGUGAGACUUACAAUGGAGAUGUUAGACUUUGUUUCUCAAGAGAAGUGUGUAGGAAUACGGAGCUUGGCUAAACUUCAGGAGAUCUUGGUGACCCAUGUCACAUCAAACAGGACUCUAGUUGUUUUGGAUGAUGUAUGGGAUGACAUCGAUGAUUGCCGAUGGAAUAAACUGUUGGCUCCUUUGAGGUCUGACAAUGCGAAGGGUAAUGUGAUUAUUAUGACAACUAGAAAAUUGUCUAUUGCAAAAAGGAUAUGCACAGUCGAACCGGUCAAGUUAGGUCAUUUGCAAAAUGAUGACUUCUGGUUAUUGUUUAAAACAUGUGCAUUUGGUGAUGAAAAUUACAAAGAGCACCCAAGUCUAACCAUCAUGGGUCAGCAGAUAGCAAAGAAUUUACAUGGUAACCCACAAGCAGCACAAACUGCAGGGAUGCUGUUAAGAGAGCAUCUUACAACUGACCACUGGAGUCACAUUCUAAAGAAUGAAAAAUGGAAAUCCCUGCAACUAAAUGGAGGCAUCAUGCAUGCUUUGAAACUUAGCUAUGAUGAGCUGCCCUUCUAUUUACAACAAUGCUUCUUGUAUUGUUCUAUAUUCCCCAAUGAUCAUCAGUUUAUUAGCAGUGAGCUGAUCUAUAUUUGGAUCGCACAAGGAUUUGUGAAAUGUAGCUGUUCGACUGAGAGAUUGGAGGAGAUGGGACAGAGGUAUCUCACUGAUUUGCUGAACUUUGGAUUUUUUGAGCAAGUUGAAACUAAAGAUCCCACUCUAGGCGAUAAAAUAUUAUAUGUUAUGCCUGCUCUUAUGCAUGACUUUGCAAGGCUGGUUUCAGGAAAUGAAUGUGCAGCUAUAGAUGAUCUGACGUGCAGAGAAAUACUCCCAACUAUACGUCACUUGUCAAUUCUAACUUAUUCUGCGUACCAGGAAGAUAAAUAUGGGGACAUACUUCGUAAUGAGAAGUUUGAAGGAAAAUUGCAAAGAGUAGUUAAUUCAACGAGAAAAUUGAGGACUUUGCUCUUGAUUGGGAAGUAUGACUGCUUCUUCCUCCAAUGUUUACAAGGCCUAUUCCAGAAGGCGCAGAAUUUACGGGCACUGCUAUUUUCUGCAGCAUAUGCUGAUUUUUGUUAUUCAGAAUGCAAUUUGGUAAAUUCUACUCAUGUUCGAUAUCUAAAACUUAGGACCGAAGAGGACAAUGAACCUUUGCCUGAAGCUCUGAGCAAAUUCUACCACCUUCAAGUAUUAGAUAUAGGCUUGGAUAGAUACUCCACUGUACAUAACGGUAUGAAUAAUCUUAUCAGUCUACGGCAUCUUGUUGCAUCGAAGGAAGUGUUCUCUUCAAUUAGUAGAAUUGGCAAAAUGACCUCUCUUCAGGAACUGCAUGACUUUAAAGUUGAUAAUUGCACUAGUUUUGAGAUAGCACAGCUUCAUUCCAUGAGUGAACUCGCUCAGCUUGGUGUUUCCCAACUUGAAAAGGUGGUAACUAGAGAGGAGGCAUAUGGAGCAAACCUGCGAGGAAAAAGUCACUUAGAAAAGUUGCACUUGUCAUGGGAGUAUACAUCACAGCAUGAAUAUGACAUUAACAUUAUCUCAGAGCCUUCUUAUGAGGUAGGAGAGAUAGGGACAAGCAAAGUGGUGCUUGAGGGCCUUGAACCACAUCACAGCCUAAAGCAUCUUCAAAUUUCUGGGUAUCGCAGCGGUACCUCCCCAAAUUGGCUUGUUAGCACUGUCUCGGUUACCUGUUUGCAGACACUUCAUCUAGAGGAUUGUAGGGAAUUGGAAGUGCUUCCCUCAGUAGAAAAGCUUCCACUCCUUACAAAGCUGAAGUUAAGGAAUAUGUGGAAAGUAAGACAGGUAACAGUUCCUUCGUUGGAGGAGCUGGUGCUGAUUAAUAUGCCAAAGUUGGAGUGUUGUUCCUGCAAUUCCGUGAUGGACUUGAACUCCAGUUUAAGGGUCCUCAAGUUUGAGCAAUGUCAUGUUCUGAAGGUCUUUCCCCUCUUUGAGAGCUGGAAGAAAUUAAAAAUUGAGCGCAAGUCAUGGUUGUCCUGUGUUAAGGAACUUACCAUCUGUGAAUGUCCCCAUUUAAUGGUACCGAAUCCUCUACCACCUUCUAGUAAUGUUUGUAAACUACACAUCGCAAGAGUUUCAACACUCCCAACGAUGGAGGGAUCAUCCAGCGAAGAACUGGUAAUCGGAGGACACAAUUUGAGAGAAAACAAUGGGCUGACGGAGCUGGAUGACAGAAUUUUGUCAUUCCAUAAUUUGAGGGCCCUUAGCCGAUUGCGUAUUGCAGGCUGCCAAAAACUAUCUUCUAUUUCACUCGAAGGUUUCAGGCAACUCAUUAGCUUAAAGACUAUGGACAUAAGCUACUGCUUUAACCUUUUCUCUUCAGAUGUCCCACCACCACCAGAGCAUACCCAUGAAGACAUGACCGACAUAAAUUUCAAUGCCCUCCCAUCUCUCAAGCAUCUCAGAAUUGAAUUUUGUGGAAUAACUGGGAUGUGGGUAUCUGUGAUGCUGCGCCAUGCACCAGCCCUAGAGGAAUUGCGCUUGGAUGAUUGCGACCAGAUAUCAGGACUGUUGAUCGAAGUGGGAGAUAGUAGUUCAUCAAAUCACACCUCGGCUCCACGGGCUCCAUCAGCAGGAAACCCAGAUGACGCAUUGACAAGCUCAACUCCAGAUGGACUCCUGCGCAUCCCAUCAAAUUCCGUCUCCUCUCUCAAGAAAAUGUCUAUUCUGUGGUGCGGUGAGCUAACAUUUCAGGGGAACAAGGAUGGCUUCUCUGUAUUCACCUCCCUUGAGGAGCUAACAAUUCGUGGAUGCCCCAAACUGAUCCCGUCUUUGGUGCAGACAUAUGAAAACAACGACCAGCGAAACGGAAGAUGGCUUCUCCCGUAUUCACUUGGCAAACUUGAGAUUGACGGUUCCCCUGAAACGCUGCAGCCCUGCUUCCUAGAAGAUCACAACUGCCUCGAAAAGUUAGAAAUAAAAGAAAGCCCAAGUUUAAAAUUGCUACAGUUGCAUUCCUGCACGGCACUGGAAGAGUUGGCGGUUCAUGAUUGUGAAUCGCUCCCCGCACUAGAGGGGAAUUUCACCUGCCUCAAGAGAUUAGAGCUGUCGUACAACUCAGGGUUGGAAUCGCUACAGCUGCGUUCCUGCACAACGCUGGAAGAGUUGACGGUUGAGUCUUGUGAAUCGCUCGCCACAUUAGAGGGGAAUUUCACCUGCCUCCAAAAAUUAGAUCUGUUUGACAACCCAAGGCUAAAAUCACUACAGCUGCGUUCCUGCACAGCGCUGGAAGAGUUGACGGUUCGGUCUUGUGAAUCGCUCGCUGCACUAGAGGACUUUUGGUCCCUCAGAUGUCUCAGGUAUUUGGUAAUAUCCAAAUGCCCUGGCUUACUUCCUUAUCUGGAACAUCUGUCAAGUGAGGGCUAUGAGCUGUGCGCUGGACUGGAAAGGCUCGACACUGAUUAUUACUCUUUCCUCACCACGUCAUUCUGCAAGUGCCUCACCUCCCUCCGACGCCUAGAGUUACACGAUCCUACGGGGGAAGUGACGGGACUAACGGAGGAGCAAGAGAGAGCGCUUCCGCACCUCACGUCCCUGCAGGAGCUACGAUUUGAGGAUUGCUCCAACCUCGCAGGUCUUCCUGUGGGUCUGCACAGCCUUUCCUCCCUCAAGAGGUUGGAGAUCAAUUAUUGCCCGUUUCUCUCAAGGCUGCCAGAAAAGGGGCUCCCAC
rnacentral:lncRNA from 1 species